CGGUUAUACAAAUUAUAAAAGUUAAUUUUAUUAGUAAAUAAAUAAUUGGUUUUGUAAUGUAAAUAUUGUAUUAAUAGGUAAAAUUUUAUUACAGUGGUAAAUUAGAAUGAAGAACAUGAUUUUAUGAAAAUUAUAUAUUAAACUAGGAUUAGAUACCCUAUUAUUAAUAAUUGUAAAUUUUUUACUUAGGUAGUAAUAGUUAUGUUCUUGAAACUUAAAAAAUUUGGCGGUGCUUUAUUCAGUUUAGAGGAACCUGUUUUUUAAUUGAUAGUCCACAUUUAAUUUUACCUUAAUUUAGGUUUGUAUAUCGUCGUUGUUAGGAAAUUUUAAAAGAAUAAGAAUUUUCAUAAUUUAAAUAUAAAAAAAAUUCAGAUCAAGGUGCAGCAAUAUUAAGGUUAGAAUGGGUUACAAUAAUAAUAUUUAUAUGGAUUUUAAGGUGAAAUUUUAGAUGAAGGUGGAUUUAAAAGUAAAUUAAAUUAUUUAAUUUUAUUGAUUUUUUGCUCUAAAGCAUGCACACAUCGCCCGUCGCUCUUUUUUAAAAUAAAGAUAAGUCGUAACAAAGUAGACUUACUGGAAAGUGAGUCUAGAAAGAU
rnacentral:rRNA from 1 species